CUGCCGAGCAUGUCAUCACCGGCCUGCUCUCUCCGCGGUCACCGCUCCCUCCCGUCCUGGCAGGGGAGAGAGGAGCAAAGCGGCUAGGGAGGGCGGUCAGACGCUGGAGCUGGCUGCUGGGGACGGAGAGAGAAGGAAAGAAGAGCUGAAAAAAAGAGCCAGAAACCAGGAGCAGAUUCAAAGACUUGUUAUCAGAGAUUAAGUCCAGCUGGAACAUUCAAACCUGGAUUUUUUAUGCCCUGCAUGUUCAGACAGGCAGCAAGAACCACCAACACACAUCUCUGACUCUUCCAGUGAGUCCUUCAGCAGCACGGUGAGAAGGAGCAGCCUUGUUAUUCCUCACAUAACCAACUUUGAAAGCACUUUUUCCCAUCACAACAGCACAAAGCCAUAUUUUGUCCAAAUGGCAAGGAAGAUCUCAUGGUUAGACAACUGCCGGGGACCUGGGCUCAUUUCCUGGCUCUGCCACAGACUAUGUGUGACCUGAGACAAGUUGUUUAUCUCUAUA